rnacentral:rRNA from 1 species
UAACUUUAGGAUAGUGGCGAACGGGUGAGUAACGCGUGAGUAACCUCCCCCAAGACGGGGAUAACAUUCCGAAAGGGAUGCUAAUACCCGAUGUGGUUAUAAGCCUGAAUGGUUUAUAACUAAAGGGAAGCGAAAACGACCGCUUGGGGAUGGGCUUGCGUCCCUCAGCUAGUUGGUAGGGUAAAGGCCUACCAAGGCGAUGACGGGUAGCUGGCCUGAGAGGUGGUCAGCCACACUGGGACUGAGACACGGCCCAGACUCCUACGGGAGGCAGCAGUUGGGAUCUUCCGCAAUGGGCGAAAGCCUGACGGAGCGACACUGCGUGAGGGAAGAAGGCCUUCGGUUGUAAACCUCAAAAGCUGGGGAAGAAAACCGACGGUACCCAGUGUAAGCCUCGGCUACUCCGUGCCAGCAGCCGCGGUAAGACGGAGGAGGCGAGCGUUAUCCGGAAUCAUUGGGGUAAAGGGUCCGUAGGCGGCAGUGCAAGUCCGUGGUCAAAGGCCCCGGCUCAACCGGGGAAGGCCAGGGAAACUGCACCGCUAGAGCCAGGCAGGGGUAGGGGGAAUUCCCAGUGGAGGGUGAAAUGCGUAGAGAUUGGGAAGAACACCGGUGGCGAAGGCGCCCUACUGGGCCUGUCUGACGCUGAGGGACGAAAGCUAGGGGAGCGAAAGGGAUUAGAUACCCCUGUAGUCCUACCGUAAACGAUGGAUACUAGGCGUGGUGGGGAGCAAUCCCGGCCGUGCCGAAGCUAACGGUUAAGUAUCCCGCCUGGGGAGUACGCACGCAAGUGUGAAACUCAAAUGAAUUGACGGGG